UUCUGGGGCUGGAAAAGGAUUGUUCUGUGUGCCUGUGUUGCCCUGAUUCUUAAGAUUUUCUAAAGCCUUCUGAGUUUACAUUCUCGUAGAGAACUUUCUCACACAACUUUCUGUAAACAACCUAUUUACCAUUCCUCCAUGGAGGCGGAGAAACUUGAUGUACUGGUAGUUUGUCCAAUGCCAUUGGAGAGGUGGCACCUUCACCCUCCAAUCCACUGUCGCCUUUGGAAAAGUACAAAUGCUGGAGUCAGAAAAUAAACUUCCUCUUUUUCACCUUUGCAAUAGCAGUGGCUCAUGUCGUGCUUUCACGUGUCCUGUAGUGACAUUUCUGAGCUGUGAGGAGAGCUGCUGGCACUUUGUGUGGAGUUCAGAGUCACACACCGAGGCAGUGCAGAAUCUGGAAAACAUGAAAACUAAACUGAACUAUACAGCAGGAGCUGUAUAUUUGGGGAGCAGCAGCUGUGUGGAUGGGCCAGCUCGGGCUCUGCUCUCCCUGGACUGCAGGGUUGUGUUUUUGUCUCUUUGGUUUAGCAGGGACCAGUUGUGACCCGAUUGCAGAUGGCAGCUGGUGCCAUCCAGUGUCUCUGUCCUCUGGUGCCCUGAAGAUAUGCAAAUGAGGAAGAAAUGCAAGGGACAGCUCCUUUGUAUAAAAACCACUAGGUUAUGCAUAAUAUAUAACCACCUUUUCUUCCAGACUGCUGUUCGUUUGUUUUUUCUAACAUGCCCCUCUUUCUCUCCUGCAUCUCCUGCCACCAGGUCAAAAAUAAAACUAAGGGGACAGGAAGAAGGAAAAAAAAAAAGAAAAGACCAUAAAGACUGUCAACAAAGAAUUAUUCUGUGACUUUCAAGAGAAACCAGGAUAUUUAUGGAUUUACUCUAUUCCCUGUGAUAACAAGUUUCUGAGAUGGUAAUACACUGUCAAAUAUUUUUCAAGGUUAACAGUUUAGGGACACAAUUAUGUUGCAAGUUGUCGGCAAGAUUAAUUAAGGGUAUUUCAAAGAUAUGGGAGAAAAAUUGUUCCAGCAGCUAUUAGAGGGUGAGUAAUCCCAACUCAGAGAGUGGUUCCCCUUCAGUUCAGUCCUCCUCAGAGAAAAUAUUCCCAUGUUUAAAGCAUACUCAGAAGCAGAUAAAAUGUGCAUGUUUGGGCUGAGAAGAGCACUGAUGGGGAAGCAGUUCUAGACACAACCCACACAGUCUGACAGCCAGAGCUGGGAUGGCCCCACAAAGGUUAUUUUAAAAUAGUUUUAAAUAAAUAUUUCCCUGGGCCACAAAACACCAAAAAAUCUCCCACAGGCAAAGGCAGAGGUGAGAGCCAGGCUCAGCAGAGCUCCCCUCAGCAUCAACAACCUCUGGGAGGGCAGUUAUCCAUCACUGAUAGAAAAAAUUAUUGGGCCAGCUAAUAAAACAUCAGGGACUGUUUGUGAAAAUAAUUGCAAGGUCCAGAGGACUGUGAAUAUGAGAGAUUUUAAAUAAAAGAGAAAAAAACCCAUCAGCAGCCCAGCACCUUAAUCAAAGCACUGCAAACAAUACACAUAUCUACCCAUCUAUUUAUAAUCUGAUAUUAUUUUUAAUCCCUUUUUUUAAAUCCCAGUCACUAAUGAGGGAUAAUGCUAGAUUGAGGAGGGCCAAAGAGAUUUAUUGAUACCAACUGAGAGCCGUGGCUGUAAAUCAGGACAGUGAAGAAGUAUGCCACUGCUGGCUUAUGUUCUCUUCCUGCAAAAGGACAGGGAUGAAUGAACAAGUGUCUGAAUGAAUGACUGAAUAGAUGAAUGAAUGAAAGAAUGAAUGCAUCAUCAAAUAAAUACAUUAAAAUACAUUGCCAGCUCGCAGGGCUCGCAUAGCCCGGGAGCUCUUCGGGGCCUUUCUACAAAGGGAGGCACCGGCGGCCUGGAUUUAUUAGAAAUUAAAAUCUGCUUUGCCCAAUCCCUCCGAGUGUUUAAUUUUUACUGAAGGUCACAAGGUGCUCUGCAUUUGGAGAAAAUGCAUCCCAGUGCAGCUCCUGUUUCUGGUGAGGAGCACCGAGCUGCUGCUGUCUGCCGGGGCUGCCCGUGCUCAGGGAGGGACCCCGGGGUCCCCAGGGCCACCACGGGGUGACACAGCAGCACAGUCCCCAUGGGAGGACACCUUUGCUGCAAGAAUCAGCCUUUUUCUCCCUCCUUGCAGGGCUCAAGGCCCUCUCCUCCUUGCUGACCAGAAGCCCAGCCCACGUUUCAUGGAAUCGUGGAAUUACGGAAUCAGGGAAACUUUUAUAUUAGCAAAGAAUCGUCAAGAGUUCCAAGCAGUCCCUCCAGCACUUCCAAAGCCACCUCUGAACCCUGUCCUGAAAUGCCACUUCUACACAUCUUUUAAAUCCCUCCAUGGAUGGUGAUCUCACCAGUGCUGGGGCUGGACAAGGCUUUUUCUGAAGAAAUUUUUCCCAAUAUCCAGCCCCUUUCUUCUGGUGCAAUUUGGGGCCAUUUCCAUUAGUCCUAGCAAAUGCCAAGAUUUGUGAUGCCUCUAUGAAAUGCAAUUCUAGUUAAAUUCAGAAUUUUGCCUGCCAUGCAGCGAGGUGGCAUCUUGUCCUGGGCAAGGGGUAGGAAGGACAGGUGGAAUCCUAACAGGGACCCAGUGACAUUGUGGCUUUCCCAACAAAAGUGCCAGGUACACAAAGAACAUUCCAAAUCUCUCUGCCAGCUCCAGCGUGCAGAAACCAUCUCUGGAGCUUCAUGGGACCAGUUUUGUUCCCUUUGAGAAGACUAGGGUGAUCCAAAUUUAAUUAUUUUGGUUUAUUUUUUUUUUUUCCUGGAAUCCAUGUCUGUUUUGAACUUUGCACUUGUGUUUGAUUCCCUUUCCCUCUUCUCUUACAAGGUCCUGGAGGAUGAAGCUCUUCUAGCUUGAGAUGAAGGUCCUCCAAAUGAGAAGUACAGAGCCAUGGCUGCCAAUUUAAUUAGCUCUCAUGCAUUCACAUGCAGAUGGAAGGAUUUUUGGAAGGAGAGAAUCUAUUCAAGAUGAAUAAAUUACUUCAGUUUUUAAAUAACUAAACCAGCAGUUUUAUUCCCCACUGCUAAUAUUUCUGUCAGUCAGGUCAAGGAUAAUGAAGCAGAAUUCUAGAAAGGGUCACCCAAAACUUGUUGGGUUGUUUUUUUUUUUUAAUUGCAAAUGUUCCCAUUCAUAAAACCUACAUCUGCAAGUACAAAAUCAACAGUUAAAUGUUUGCCUUUUCUGUGUCUCUAUUUCUCCAAGGAGAGAAUUUUUUACCCAGAUUUCACUUAUAACAUUCUGCUGAGGUUUCUGAAGGAAGAAUAAGUCUUCUAAAGUUUGUUCCUGUUAUUAUUUUUACCUGUGGGUAAAUAUGUUCUUUGCUGUUAACACAGCCUUCUUUCCAUAAUAAGAACUUUUACCAUGUGUCUCCUCUUGGUUUAGAGUAGUUCCUUUUCUCCCAGUUUUUGUAAGUUCAUUUUUAACUUCUGUUGAAAAGAAAACCCAUGAAAAUCCAACCCUAUCAGGCAACGUGGCUUAUGGAAUAAUAGAAAAUUACCAAAGUAUGGAAGUUAUUAGAGAUACACAAAGAGCAAAGUGCAAUGUAGCAGGACCCAGGUUAUCUGUUUUAGGAAAUCACUUCUAGCAGAUGAAAUAACUGCUAAAAACAGGUGUUUAUUCCAAAAUCUGCAGCAGUGUUGCUCUGUCAUGUCACAUGAAAUCAUCCCUGCUGCAUCACGCGAUGUUGCACCACAUGGUAUGGCGGGGAACCCAGCGGGACUAACGGGAUGUGACAGACAACAUUUAGCAAAAAUAUUCACUUAUUUGACUCAGAUCCUUGCCAUCAGCUCGAAUCAGGGAGCGAGGUCCCAAGUGAGGCUGACAGAUGGAUGUGAAUUCACCGAGGACCAGCAUCCAGCGUGAAUCUGAAACUUUCUUGUUCUGUACCUGGUCCUCGUCCUGCCGACGGUUUUGCUGUGCCCAGCUCCUCGUUCUCAGCAUUUCCUCCCUGCUGUGAGUAGUGAGAUGGGUUGGUUGUCAUUUCUUUUCACAUAACUCGUGACUUUCACAUGAGGGAUUAAUCACAUACUUGGUACAGAAGUGCUGUCAACUGACAGCUGAUGGAAUUGAUGUAAACAGUUUUUAUUUGAGCGGAAUUGUGAACUACAUGAGAAGGUGUUUGGACUCUGUAUUUAUGUUUAGAUGGGGGCUAUUUUAGGGAUCAAGAGGUUUAUCUCUGAAGACAUCUCUAUUUUACAGUGUGACAAAGUCUUUUUGAUAGACUUGAAACUAUGGGACUUUGUUAUUGCUCUUGAAGGAGCUGUUUUAUGGUAAUACUUCUUAAAAAAAGGUUUAGGAAAUAAGUGCAUGUUCAUGGAGACAAAAAAUCAAAUAUAAGCCAGGCAGCUGAGGUGCAGAACUUGCCAUAGAUGGAUUUUUUAUAAAUAUCAGUCCUGACCUGGAUGGCAAUUUCCAACCCAUAGGCCAGGACUUGGACAGCUGCAGGACUGUGUGUUUGGGCACAAUUUGUCCUGGCAGAAAUUAGGAGGAGAUAUCCUCAUCCCAGGUGUUAAAGAUGGUUUCAGGGAUGCUGCAGAAGGUAGUCCAGGAAAAUCUGGCUGCUGAAGUGUGAACAAAUUUACAUGUGGACCUUAAUCUUCUCCUCCUUAUGAGGAACAAGACAACCAAUAAUUUGCAGGAUUCUGAAAAGAAACCUAUCUAUAGAUGCCAGAAAAAAGUUUGUAUUGUGUCAACAGUUCUUAGAAUCCAUGGUCCUUUGUCCCCCCAGCCUUCCAGAGGGAAUUUUCAAGACUCUUCUCAUUCAGACAUUCAUGGUUCAGUCUCCCAUCAGCAGUUCACAGCCUUUGUGCAGAUGCAUUUCAUGGGGGUGGCAGUAAAUGCCAGCAGUAAUGCUGAUGAUGGAAGGUGCACCUGGGGAGUACACGGGCUCAUUUCACGGCUGAAAUGUCCCCAGCCUCAGUGUGGUGGUCUCAGCACUCUGCACAAAAGAUGCUGAGGACAAAAAAGCUGUUAUAGAAUCAUGGAAUAUCCUGAGUUGGAAUGGACUCACAAGGAUCAUCCAGUGCAGCUCCUGGCCCUGCACAGACACCCCAACAAUCCCACCCUGGGCAAUGGCCCAAAUCCUCCUGGAGCUCUGGCAGCUCAGGGCUGUGCCCAUUCCCUGGGGAGCCUGGGCAGUGCCCAGCACCCUCUGGAUUCCCUAAAAUCCCACCUAUGGAUACUGCAACCUACACAGAGUCAAUAUGGAAAAUUCAGCCUGUGCAAAGAAGGAGAAAGGAACAUCGCUGCCCAUCUGUUUCCUUUGGUAUGUGCCAUCUUAGCUGAUACUAGAAGCAUGUCUUAUAUCUGAGGAAUUAAUUCCUCAUGGCUCUUGGGAAAUUUGGGAAGCAGGCCCGCUUUGCAUGCCCCCCAAACAGCCCUGGUGUCGCUGGGUUGGUGCUGACACUGUUCACUCUUCCCAGGAAGCUCAGGAGCCUCCUCAGGGAAGUCUCCUGGGAUGAAUAAAUCCUUAUCCAGAGGGGAAGUACCAGCUCUGGGUAAAACAAACCAAAUGCCCAAAGGGCUCACACCCACCCUGGGGAGCUACUGAGCAUCGAGGAGCCCCCACCUGCUGCUGGCUCUGCAGCACGGGCACAUCCCUGCUGCUCAGCCUGGAGGUGAGCCUUUACCAGGCAUCCCAUGAAGGGCCAGAACAUGUGAAAAAAUGCUGCUCCUUGCUCCUGGUCGCAGGAGCCUCUCCAGCAGUUUUUAAGGAGAGGUUUUUGCCCAUCUCCCAAGGCAUUUUGCCUUUGGAGUCUGCCUGACUUUGGAAUUUGGUGUUCCAAGUGUUUUGUAGAAUAAAUCCUUUGAGCAAGCGUGCUAUUCACUUCUUACCUGAUGGAAAAUAAUAAAAAAGCAAUUAAACAAUUAAUAUGGAUGUUACUUAACGGUUUUAGGAGGUUUAUUUAAUAAUUUUCUGGUGCUUCCCCCCCCCAGUUUAGGAAUAAGACAGACAUAACUGAGCAUGCUAUUCUGGAGCUUCAAAUUGCACUGUGAAGAGAAUUGAAGGAAACACAUUUCUUUGAUUUGAAUAUUUUUCUCAUUAACAGGACGUUCAGAAUAAAGCAGAAAUAUUUGAUGCACAGAGCCUGUGGCAGUAUCAAGUUAACACUGGCGUGCUCCCGCAUUUUACCUCAUGUUUACUAAUCACUCCAAAAGGAAAGGUCACAUCUUUCAUCACAAAAUGGAAACUUUUUGACAGCAAACAAUUGGAUUUUCAGCACUCCAUUUGAAGUGGAUUUCAGUGUGGAGAUGAGAGCCCAAGGCAGUGGGAUGAGGCAACUGAGCAGAGCCGUGCUCUUGAGGUGUUGGGUACCACAAACUCUGAGUAAGGGCUCUCUCAGCUGGAUCAGGGUAUCGUGCUGGGGUAUCUGAAUUGAAAUUGUUUGGAGAAGAGAAUAAAUAAGGUUUGGGUAGGUGUUGGAGUGCAGUUUUGGCUCCCAGAACAAGGUCAAGGUUGAGACACUGCUGCAUGUCUGGGUCAGCCUGAAGGGCAGGAGAGCCACAGUUACCUGCAGGGUGUUAAGCCACAUUCCUCCUCUGAAGACUCUUCUCUGUUUUAUCUCCUCUGUGCCUCCACCAUGGCCUUCUAGCUCUAUUCUUCUGGUUUUUUGGGUUUUUUUUUUUUUAAAUCUGUGUUUUGACAAAGUGAAUUUACUUGGCAGCUGGAAAAAAAAAAACAAAAAAAAAAACCACAACACUUUUUUCCCAGGUAGAAAAUACAGCUCGGUAGUUUCUCAAGCAAAAUAUUACCCAUGUAAUUUCUUCUGUUUCUCUCUCCUUCCCAUUCCUCCUGCUCAAAGCAGAGGAGCAGCCCUGAAGUCCUUUUUGGCUGGGUGAGGGAAUUUCUGCCUCUCUGGGAGCAGCUCCCACCCAUUCCCGGGUGCAGAAGGGAGCUGGACCAGGGGCUGUGAGUGGAUGUGACCAGAGCACUGUGCUCACAACUCCUCCUCACCCUCCCGUAGGCUCUACUGCCAACUGAGACAAUGAAGUGAAAUAAGAGGAGGGACCAGGAAAUAUCACUGGCUCUGUUCUUCCUUCCCCCACUGGCUGCUCCAAGGAGUCUCCAAGGUGGUGACAUUGACAGGCUUUACACCUGGCUCCUGGAGAAAUCACUAGUAUCAAAAGGUUGCCUGUAGCUCUGGCACAUAUUGGCAUGGCACACACCUAAGUGAGAUUAAUUUGAGUUCUGGGCAUCAUUAGCACAAUAAAAACUUUGAUUUUUUUUUUUUAGUUCAGACCUACAGGCCAUUGAAGAGAAGAGUAAUCAUAAGACAGAAACAAGUUCCCUAGUUAAAAAUUAAUUCCCUAGACUAAAAAUAUAAUCAAACUAUGUCUACAGUAUUUUAUGAAGAGCUGGGAGGAUAAUAAAAUUUAAAGCAGUGCAACAUUUGCAUUUUGUUCAUUUCUAUCCAUAUUUUUCCGCAGACUGCCUUUCUGUGUGCUUGUUAAUCAUAUGCACUGCUACAGUCCUGGCAUUUUAAGAUCACUGUUCACAUCAAGAUUGAAAGGAAACUAAUUACAAUCACAUUUCAGGGUGGUUGUUCAAAGCUCGUUCGGCGUCGGCUACAGCACAGGAGCCUUGACCUUUAUUUGUAAGCAUGAAAAUAAGGUAAAGAUGAAAGAUUGGUUUCCCUGCAGCUUGUACUCAGGGAUCAGGAGGCCCUCUGGAGAGGCAGAGGUGUGGGAAGCCUCUCUGCUCUCCUCCUCUCCCAUGCUGGCAGCAGAGGCCAGUAGUGCUAUGUAGAAGCUCUGCUCCACUGCAGCAAGAGGUGAACAAAAGCUCCACAGUAUUUUUCAGCUCUCCCUCCCCGCUGGAAGAACAUGGAAAGAACCAACAGACCUGAGGAGUCUUUUUGACCCCUGUGCAGAGCUUUGCAGGGAUUUGUUUGUAGUGCCUGGUGCUGCGCUCUGUGCUCAGGUGGUCGAGGUAUUGGCACGUGCCAGCUCCAAGCAGUGCCACAAACUCUUCUGCUGCUCAUUCCACGGCUUAACAACACUCACAGUACUCAGGUAGGUGCACUGGGGCAGAAUAAGGUCCCUCAAACCUUAGGGAGUGCAGUAAUCCUAAUGCAAUCCUUGACUGCACUCAUUGGGAAUACAUUUGAGAGUGUGCCGAUUUAUCCAAUAGGUUCCACCUUCUGUGUCCCUGAAUUUUCCAAACUGGUGUUUUGAUAAAUUUGUGCUAUGCUGAGAGUGAGCUGGUUACACAAAUGGGUUUCACCCAGGAGCUGCUGAUGGGGGGCUGUCCCCAAAUGCCCCUUUCAGGGUUGCUGACCAGUGUUCAAAGCCACGGUGAGUGGCUGAAGGAUCCUUCAGGUGAUCCCUGAAGGAUCUCCUGAGCUUCCACCCAGCCUGGAUUAUCACAGCUCUGCCUGGAAUGAGUUCAUUGAGAAGUUCCCCUUCUCAAUGAGAGAAACAAUCCCAUUUUUCUCCCACAGGGUGCUUGCCCUGCACAAUCACUGCGUGCGCCCGGCCCCGUGUCCAGGCAAUCUCUCCUGGAGCCCUGACAUCCCGUGGGUUUUUUGGCAGGUUCCACCAGGUAAUUCGUAUCUCCUGUCUGGAAAAGCUCUAUUUGGGGCACCAAGCAGUGAGAGAAGAGAAACUCAUCUCACACCCAGCUCCCAGCCUCCCUCAGCCUGCUGCAGGCAGAGACCACCUGCGUCAUGCUAAGAACACAGAACUUGUAUGCUCAAACCAAGCAGCAAAGAUGAGUUUGUAACACUUUUUGUGAUGUAUUCUCCUUCUCUCUACAUUCUUCAAAGCACAAAUUUCCCCAGACAAAUAUUUACAGAAACUGAAGGAAAAAAUAGACUGGUGCUAUAGACACUGCAGCAGACAACUUCUAAUUACAAUCCACAAAGUAUUUAUGAAUAAAUUUAUCUAUUAUUUGUCUAGUUCAAGCACUGCGUACACUUUGCCUUGUACCAUUACAUGCUGAAGGAAACAAUAUGCGGCAUGAAAAUGAAAACAAUUUGACUUAAUUAUUUACACCAUUACCGCCACUUUGAAUUAGGCCUUCCAUUUCUUCAGGAUUUUGUAAAAUUUAACCAGCAAUUAUGCUUGCUUAAUUAAUUUUAUUUAUCUACUACUACAAUGAGAUCAAAACAAAAAACCUACCAGAAUGCAAAGCACAGGCUGAGUCCCCUAAUUGUAAAUGUUGCUUUUAAGCCUUUAUGAUAAAAAUGUAGUAUUUUGUACCAUUUCAUUUCAAGCGUAUCUGGCCAUGCUCCAGUACUAUUUAAGCGUAAACAGGAAAAGCCUUGGAGGACGAGUAAUCACACUUAAAUGACACAAAGAUCAUUAUAAUGAUGUUCCAAAAACAUGGCAAAAUUAGAUAUUGCAGAACUGUUUUCUUCUCUGAAGUGUUCCACCAGAUGGUGAAGAGUGCUGAAACCGUAGAUCCGAGAGAGGGCAGGAAAAACAUCCCCACACUUCCCUCACUUGUCUCAAGUGGCACCUCACACCUUGGCUCCAUCAAACCUCCAAGCUCAAGAUGACACCGAGGUGUUUGAGUGCUGAAUCACAGCCUGGGAAAGCCCUGCUUUGUUCCAUUAAAGUUGUCAGCCGCAGUUUUUUGGCUCCGAGGACGAACAAGCGCGUCAGCAGAAGCGAUGGUGGUAAUUUGUGAAACUCUUAAUGAGAUAUUUUCAGAGCUCAUAAAGAGGAAGAGUCGUGUCUUUGAAUUGCUGCACAAUGAGCGCAUUUUGAUACAGGAAAAGAGUUGGGCUUUUAUCAGAAAUGGCACUGCAUCAGUGGAGAUGUGUCAGGGAGCAUUUAAAGGGGUCUAACAAGGGUUAUAUAAAUGGGGUUUAUAUAAAUAGGGAGAUGUCUGUGUGUGUUGCUGCUCUGUGAAAUGGCCCCGAGUGAGGUGAGUCUGCAUUUUAUCACUAUUGGUCUCCCUUUCCAAAAGACUUGACAAAGUUACUUUCCACAGGACCUGCUACAUCUUCAGAUGUCAUUAGAUUUUGGGGUUUUUUUGUUAUUAGAAAUAUCUGAGAAAUAUCUAGAAAUUUGGAAUUACUCUAUAAAGGAACGCUAAUUUUGUUACUUAAAUAUUGGUCAGGGGAUUUUACUUUUAGGAGUAUUGGUGAACCCCAAGUACCUGCUGGCCAUCCAUCCAUCCAUCCAUCCAUCCAUCCAUCCAUCCAUCCAUCCAUCCAUCCACACCUUCCAGAAUUUCUGAGCUCUUUUAAUACAUAUUGUGGGGAAUCCAUAGGUAAACAAGGUGAAAUAUUGGGGUGCUGUGGUUUCUGCUGACCUGUUCCCAGUUCUAGCUCCCUUUGGAAAUCCUGGCAUGUCCUGGGAGACAGCGAAGUCACAGUGGGGACAAGAGCUAUGCUCUGGAGCCUUUGGGCUCUUUGGGCUGGGAUGCACUGAACGAAAGAGGGUAGAAAAGUAUUUCUAAACCUUCCACCUUCCCAAAAUGUUUGGUGUAAAUGUAUUUCCAAGCCUUCCACCUUCAUGAAAUAUUCGGUUUCUUAACAUUUCCUCAGGAACACACAUGACAAAUUCAGCUCCACAGGAAAACUCGUCCUUUUUCGCUGAAAGAUCCUGAAAUGGAAGGUGACUUCAUUCCUGACUGGCAGUCAUUCUAAUUCCAUGCUGAGCAAGAGAACAGCCUCUUAUUCACUGUGUAACAAAUAUUUUUGAACUGAAUGUUCACAGAAGAAAGGUCCAAAGAAUGGUCCAAAGAUUGGCCCACAUGCUGCAUUUGCUGCACUUCCAUUAUUCAGAGUAAGCAAUGAAAAUAAUGCAAUAAACUCCCCCCUUUCCACCUAUCCCCAUUCAAAGAACAUUUGGAAAUGGGGCUUGCAAAUGGGAGAGGGUGAACACAAUAUCAGCAAUCCUGUUUAUCCAUUUGCAUCCAGCUCAUCUGCUUAAGUGAGGAGCCUGUGCAUGGUUGGUUUUCAAUGGCCUGUGUUAAAUGAAGGGCUGAUUUCACCCCCCUGCCUCGAGGACAGAGGACCAUUUGCUGAGCAGCCACUGUAAGUGACAUUAAAUGACAUCCCAACCGUCCCUCUCAGGUGGUAUUGGAUGGAAAGUAUCCCAUAAUCUUAAAAAUGAACUCUGAACCCAUGGGAGCUUGCAGGUUGUUCUCAAGGUAAAUACCUUGGGAGAAUGGUCUCUCAGGGAUACUGUGCCUCAGUUUUGCCUCUGAAAAAUAGCAACACAAGGAUUUUGGGGAAGCAUUGUUGUAUUUUCACUCAACACAUAUUAUUCUCUUUUUAGAUGAGCUCUUCUAGCAAUGCCAAAUCUUUCCAAAAACUCGAUUUAUCAAAAAAAAAAAAACAAAAAACAAACCACUUUACAAUAAUUAGUAACCUCUCUGUCUUGAGGAAGGCAAAGGUUUUAUUCUGAGUCUGAGCUUAAUUAUGUUUUCAGAGCCGUGUCAUGGAGGCUCAGAUGAAAUUCUUGCUUUGUGUGCAAGAAAGUCACACCACAUUUGCAUUUGUUUGACAGAAGCCCUGAUCUCAUCCAAUAUGGAGUGCACGAAUCUGGCAAUGCUCCCGUUGGACAUCUAUUUUAUAUUCUGCCUAAAUUGCAGGCAAAAUAUCAUUCCUUGCACUUAAAUGCUGAUACCUUUGAGGGAGGGAAUAAAGCCUGGUCCAUCCAAAUGACAUCCCCCAUGGGGCUGUGCAUCAGAGCUCUGUCUCCACCAGCCAGCAGAGGCUGCUCUGAUGUGAUUCCUUAUUAAAUCAUUCAUUAUUUUCAGUAAUAAAGCACAUGGAGGAAAUCAAACCCAAAUAUUGAAAAGAUGAAAUGAUCUACGAGCCAGAAUGCCAUGGAAUGUGCUAUGUGGGAGUAGGCUGGGAAGCAGCAGCCCCUAGCCCAAUUCUUCUGGACAAUCUGCUGCCCAGUGGAUUUUCCAACUCUGGGAUGUGGCCAGGUGGGCUCCAGGAACAGCAGAGCACAUCCUGCUUCUGAUGAGAUGGUAAGAACUGGGAUUACUCUUCUAGCAUAUAAAUUCUGUCACUCUGGCCCUUAAAACCCAGCGUUUGUUCAACGAGGAGAGCUGUGGAUUUUAACUGGAUACUUGAAAUAAACCAAUUGUCUGCCUUUACUUAGAAAACAGGAUUUUUUUUUUUCCUAGUUAUUAAUUUCCUUAAAUGUAAAGUGACAUCUGAAAUGAAAACAGUUUAUUGCUUGCCAGGAGCAAAGCCAGCCUAAUUUAAGAAAUCCAGAAUUAAAGCUUUUGAAGCAUAUCAAGGCAUGUUUAUAAAACAAUUAUCAUUGCAAACAUUCUCUCUGCUCAAUGCAGCCUCUUCAGACCACCUCCAAAGCCUGAAACUUCAUCACCAGUUGUCCCCACCCCGAAAUGUUUCAUCAAUUGCAUAAAAUCAGGUCAUCGUUUGAUUGCAGCUUCCCUCUGCCAGGGAACCCAGGCGUUGAAUCCCAAACCAAACCCACCUGGAAUGUAUUCGAUGCUGAAAAAAAAAUUAACUCAGUGUUUAAAAUUAAGUAGUAGGCUCAUUAUUAAUAACUCAUAGCAGACAAAGGAGUGCAGUGACCUCUCCAACAGAGCAUUUAAAUCUUUGCACAACAUGCUCUGCUUGUGCUAGGCUGGUUUCACAAACAACAGCUGUGGAGUUCGUUAACAUAUGAAUCCCCUUGAGGUAAUUUGGAGGAGCCAAAUGUGCUAAACUAAACACCUCAUUAAAACAGGACUUUAAAAAACAAAACAGACCAAAAAACCCAACCCCAACCAAACCCCAAACUAAUUUCACAUUCCACCAUGUGGAGAUUCUAUUAGGUGGAAUUCAUUCAUCUUCGUGGCUGGAAAUAGUGGGGGUUAAAAUCGGUAAUAUGGGUUUUUCUCUGCUAAGAUGCACUUGAGACUAAAUUGCCUUUGAAGUGUGCCUGUCACAAAGAAGCAAUUAACUGAGGACAAUAAUGUUUUCUUUUCCUCCCUGUUACUGAGCACAAGACAGGAGUUUGUUCUCAAAUAUGCAGGACUCCAUUUCUCUUGGGUCUGGGAAGAGAAUGGACAUAACCAAAGGGACUCUCACUUGGAUGGGGCAAAGCAGAAUCACACUGAGUGCUCCUGGGGUCACUGUGUCCCCCAGGAAAGCCUUGCAAGAGAUUUGCAGAGAAAUCCUCCAUAAAAACACUGCUGCAAGUCCAGGUGGCCACACACAAGAGGUACAGUCCCAACAGAGUGGGAGAAACACGCCCUGCCCUUGUUCCUGCGGGCUCCAGAGGGCUCAGGGCCCUGAUCAAAAUUUGCACCAAGAGCAGCUUCUUUUGGUUCUUCUUUAUUUCUCCAUGAUGCUACUGAGGCAAUUCUGAUGGUAAAAAGGUUCCCAAGCUCCUUGGAGCUGGUCCUCCUGGAAAGCAGCAUCUCCUGCCCAGAUAAUGCUGCUCAGUGAAGCACUGGAGCUUAAAUAUCUCCUGUGAUGAGGCUGUUUAAAAAACACACAGAAAUCCAGGCCUUUCCUUGGAAAAUAACCUUUUCUUCUCUGUCUCCAGCUGAAUUUGUUGGUGACUGGAAGGAGGGAUGUGAAGGACACUUGUUUCACGGUCUACAGGGAAUUUUGCAAUAUUAAAAACAAUAAAAGAUUGAUCCCCCAAACUGCUUGCCCCCCCAAAAAACGUAAAUUAGUCACCCCUCUUUUUUACCUCUGGUUUUCUACCUGCAUCAAGAUAUGUUUUAAGAGAUGUUCCUAGAAUUUAUUAAUUUCUAAAUGGGAGAGCAAGUUUUCUUUUAAAAAUGUAGAUGUCUUUUCAGAUUUUGAUAAUGAUCUGAAAGGCAAAUAACUGGGAAUUUUUCGCAUGCUGGAGUCUUGAAGGAACAGCUCAUUUUCCUUCAGGAAAUUGUGGUUUAAGGUUCUCCUGAAUGACCUCAAAUUAUAGGGUGCUAUAGAGCUCUUGGGUUUUUUGUUUUUCUUCCUCAAAAAAAGAUUCCUAUUUUAAUGCUCCAUCCACAUCUAUUUUAUGUUUCCUUUAUCAGGAAAACAGCAACCUAAUUAGCAAUGAUAAUUUGGAACUUCCAUAAGAAACCUUUCACAUGGAUAAAAACAACAGAAGCUGGGUAAUAUUGAGGCACUAAUGCAUGCUCAAUAGUUUUUAUUUUCCUUUUUAAAGCCUUUAUUCCUGAAACUUAGGCAAGGAACUUGGUUUUAGGGAGCUGGAAAAAAAAUCUCAUGCUUACAAUCUUAUUUUUGUUCACUUUAAAGCAUAACUUUAUAACAUGUUGGAAUUUCCUCAAGGUUUUGUAAAUACUCGUCUGAAUUCCUCCCAGGUAUUAGUAUGUCAUCCAAAAACCAGAAAAUACUAUUUAUUCUCUGCAGGUUUCAAUCCAUUCGUCUUUGAAAUCCUUCAGGUAACUGGCUCCCCCCAGGGUAAUCUUGCCUACUUCAAUAGGCACCAACGUGUGAGUUCAGUCAGAAUUAGCGUGUUUUUAAAAUCUGGAUUCCUACGGCGCUGCCAGACUUUGGACAAGCACACUUUGGAAAAGUCUAUUCCCUCUGCCAGUUUCUGAGGUAAAUCCUGUGCUUUCGGGGUUUUAAUGGGCACGCAGAGUGCAGCACCUGCCCUGACUUCUUCAUGUACAAUCAGUCCCACUCUUCCAAUGCCUGUUAUUGCUUUUCCACGGUGCCUUUGCCUGUGUUCUGCACAAUUAUACCUCUAACAAGUAGAAAUAUUCUUGCCACUUUUCCUUCAGCACAGUUUUUGUCUUGGUAAAUCCAACUUUCGCUCCUCCCAUUUGUGUUAUUGUGCUGCUUCUUACCUGGCUCCAAGUUUUGUCUGAUUUUUGUAAUUUAACAGCUUUACCAGUGAAGCUAUUGGUUGUUUAUUGCUGAUAUGUUGAUACUGGUUUGUUAUACCUGGAUUAUAUCUUUUUCUAGCCUCAACAUGAGGCAACUAAGACAUGUUUUAAAAUCUUUUAUUCUAUUUUCACUUUUAUGAAAAGAGUGAGACAAUACAAAUGCUAUAAUUCGCACUAUCACAAUCAAAAGCCAGCUAUUUCUUAAUUAAAAAACACUAUAAACAUCUCUCAGCUUAUCAGCUUUUUUACCACAAUAUACUGUAAAUACCUUAAAACCAAUCAUCUAAAAUUACUCCUUGUGUGUCCUAUGAAAAUACAUCUUUCAUAGUUCUAUUUCUCCAGUUUCCAGUCUUAUUUACAAAACCAUCCUUUAAAACUUUUUUCUAACUCCAUUUCUCUCUCAACAAUAUCUAUCCCAUUCUAUAACAUUUCUAAGUCAACAUUUCUUAUCUCAACAUUUACAUACAAAUACAUACUAUGUAAACCUUCUGUCAAACCCUAAAAACUCUCUGCAAAUCCGUUUCCCACACCAAGAAACUCCACUAGCCCUGCCCUUCCUGGGAUUUGUACAUCUCAUUUUCUGAGAGAAAUGCUGGGUGAUAACCUUUGGGAUGAUCCAAGCUAUGCCUUCAGCAUCCUCACUCCCUCCUGACCUUGAAUUCAAAAUUCAAGAUUAUUGAAUUUUAAAUGCUGCCACAUUUGAUAGGCUUAAAUUGAGCUCAACACCUUUGCCAGUGGCAGCUCCUUCAUCCACCCAGCACCCAGCAGGUUCUUGCUCAGUUUGGGGAAUUAUACACAAACAACAAAUUGAUUUCUGAGAAUCUUUUUCAUAGAAUUACCAUAACAACAAGGACAAGUCAUUUAAAGCAAGCCAAACAUGCAGAAUUUCUGGACUGGUUCCUUAUUUGCAACUUAAAUUGUUCUAAGCAGGAAUUUGUGGCAGGCACAUGAUGUUUUGCAGAGGCUUUAUAAGGAUUUCAGAAUCCAUCUUGCUGCCUUUGGAAAACCCAAGAUUGAGCACUGCAACUGCAGCAUAAAUCUCUAAAUUGUAUUUUUACUUUACCAGUAAAAAUUCCUUUGCAUAGAUGUAUCUUUGACAGCAUUUGCAUAAAAUACUCUUCAUAAUAAGAAGGUUUUGAAAUCUUCCACUCCUUUCAUAUGUCUGGAAACUCUCAAAAAUGCUUUUUAUCUAUAAGCUUAUUUCUAAAAUAUUUUAAACAGCAUUUUUCAGUGCAUUUAUUUUAUUUUUUGAUGAGUUAAAAAAAUAACCAUCAAACCCCACAAAACAGACUGAGUAGACAGUGGCAACUUAAGGAGGAGCUGCUCCGAAGCUGAAGGUUUUUAAUGGAAAACUCUCAUUCUGGAUCCUAAUACAAACAUUAAAAUUGGCCGCCACACAACUGCAAACUUAAAUCAUCAUCCAAGUGAAAGCAAGAGAUUCAGAUUAUUUCUUUUUUAAAGUUAAACCCUUGCCUAAGUUCCUUGUGCCUCUUUCUGCCUGCAGUCAGUGCCUCCAAAGAGCAUCUCUCUCUCCUUUGACAAGAGACAAUUUUGGCUCUCGGAGCUGCCCUGCCUUGCUCUGAAAAAUGAAAUUUCAUUGGAGGCGUUUCCAUCAGCUCCUGAUGGUGUUUAACCAUCUUUCUCCCACGCUGGAGCAGAGAGCAAUAAAGGAGCAGGUCACCACAAAAUGGAUUAAGUGCAAACUCACAUGUGUCACGCCAAAGUUCACCGUUGACUGAAAGUAAAAUAGAUUUUUAAAGUCUUUGAGAGCAGCAAGAUUUUUUUAGAGGAAUAGAUCAAAUUACUUACUUUUGUAUUGCCAUAAAGCUACAGAGACAUUUUCUAUCUCUUAUGUGCUUUGAAACGAUCACAAUUUUGUCCAAGGGCCAAAUGAGUUAAUAAUAAUAACAAUAAUAGUGAUAUUAAACCCAAGCAAGACUAUUGGGAAAUAAUUGAUAAUUAAUAAGCAUAUUUUAAAAGAAUUUACAGUGACCUCUUACCUUACAGAGUUAGGUCCAAUUAUAGAAAUACUUUCACCUCAAGGUGAUUAAAAUUAUCAAUUUUUUGAUUUUUGGUAAAACUUCUUGUGUUUUUCAUAGAGUUCUAUUGGGUAUCAUGAAAUUAAAGAGCUAAAAGAAUAUUAAUUAAGGAAAAAACAAAUAUAUUCAAUCCAUAAAAAUAGCAGGGCAUGCAUGAAAAAGAAAUAAAUAUAGAGUAGGAUAAAUUCUUGCAAGUCGUUCAGUGCUGCAUUCAGUAAUGGACUUAACACAGGUUUUUCUUGCCCUCCCUACUCAAGACUUACUCUACUACUCACCCAGUUUUCAAAUACUUAAUAUACAAAAGCAUUUGCCUUUAAGGCAUCAAUAAUUUAGGACUGCCAUUGAAAGGAAUGUUUUUUUCCAUUAGGGAAAAUAAUUAUAUCAUAUAUCCCACCAUUGCCUUUGGACUCCCAUCUUGGUGCAAAGGAAACCAUUAGCCAGCUGAGAUUGAACUGAAAAUCUUCAUCAACAGCUGAAAUCUUCAUCAACACUGAGGGAAUGCAAAUAAAAAGUGACUUUUUCCACGUUACAAAAACGAACAGCUACAGGACAGGCCCCGUGUCACAGUGAGCCCUGGUGCGUUCUGAGGGAGCCAUUUGAGGUUUUAUUUACGUGUUUGGAAGGCAGCACCUGUGCAGAUUUAAAGCCUGCAGCUCUGCUCAGCAGAACUAACUCGUAUAUUUUACUGGGGCUUUUCACAGGGCUGUGGGGCUGUAACUGUGAGCGCAGUAAAUCUUUACAGUUUUGGAUUUCUUGCGGCUCUCGUCAGGUGUUUUACUGCCCCUCGCUCAUCCAGAACAAACGUCGAGAAUUUCUGCUCAGGGUGCGCUUCAGAAUUCACCCCGAGCUCCCCAAAAAGAUCAUUAGCAGCACGGCAAAGCUCCUUGCAAGAUUUCUACCCAGCUGACACAACAAUUUGCAGAGACUUCUCCUUCCCCACCCCACAAACCUGCUUUUUAUUCUUAUCCCUCAUCAUAAAGAAAGCUCAUUUCCAAAUUAAAACACCUAAAUCCCAGAGGAGCCUCUCAAUCCCCUGCACAGUUUUAAUGGAAAUAUUAGAAAAUAAGGGGAAAAUGAACUUUUUUUUUUUCUGGUUGAAAACAUGCACAGAUGUUCUUUACCCAAUAUAUGGAUUAGAUAAUGCAGUUGACAGUUGACAGAUUUUUUUAUCAAAUUUUUAAAAGCAUUUAAUGCUGAAGAAAAAAUGUAGUUUUUCCAAUCAAUGUUAAAAUCUUCAGCGAGGAUAAAAUCAUACACAAAGUGGGGUUUGUGUGCUUUGAUUUGUGCAAUAAUCCAAUAAAGGCUCAAAAUUAGCACUGAAAACGAAGGGAAAUCAACCAAUUCUGAUGUAUUGGGGAAAUUAUAAAACACAACUCACUGUGGGCAUUAUAAUUGAGUGUAUGGAGCUGAUGAGUAGCUGAACUCAUCUGCCAUAAGUUUUUUAUUUCAAACUAAUCCAUAAACUGCCUUUUCAAUUCUCUAAAAGAACAUAAAAUACCAACAAUUCUUUUAGCGUGUCCCCAUCAAUCCAAUCAAAAAAAUCAUGAGCUGCAAAUGACAGCCCAUAGCUGUAAUAUAAAAAUAUCCUGGUUAUCAAUCUAAAACUGGUUUUGCAGUGAUGUUGGCCAGGAUAUUUUGCCUCAUGACUUCAUGGUUCUCAUUCUGUUGUUUAUUGUCCUGUCAUCUUAUAUUUAUAUCAUUUGGCCUCCAUCUUCCAUAGCAAUUAAAAAUGGCAUUUCUUUAACCGUGGUUUUGCUGGUUUUCCUGGUGCUUUCCACAAAUGCCCAUCCCUGGAUUGGAAUGGAUUGUCACCACCAGCUUCUAAAGACCUUUUCCAUCAAAGAAAUAAUUAAAUACUUGAUUUAUUCCACUCAUUGUUGCAAUUAUUUUUGCCAUGAUGGGGGAUGUGGCUCUUUGGCACACACAGUCACCACCUCAGCAGAGAGAUCCUGGAAAUGCCCCAUUUCUGAGCCUGGAUUCCUUUUCUCACUGGACAUGGUAAAUCCUGGAAUUGCUGCAGCUUGGAAACUGUCCCAGAAAGGGCACACAAGGGACACUGGGAAUUACACAUUGGACUCCAGCUCUCUACAUUGAGUGACAAAAUCUUGGAUAUGGGAAGAAAAGAGGGGCUCAGCCAAUAUUAUCUGGUAAUGUGAAGAUAACCACAGCUAAAAAGGGCUUCAUGUGUCCAGAAAAAGAGCUGUUAGACUGGAUUAUGCUGGUCUGGGACAGGAAGGAUUAGUGGAGAGGAGGCCUGACAGUGAAUUCAUUAUGAUCUGCAGCAGAUAUUACAAAAUGCUGCUUUGCUGGUUGCAUUCGUCCAAAGAUCUUCCCCAAGAACUGUGUAUUAGGGGUAAUUUGGAGCUCAGUUUUCAGGAUCGGUUUUGGAGAUUUUUGGGGGCCCAAAGCUGGAGUUCUGAAGCCCACGGACAGCUUAUAACGAGUUCAGCACAUGCUGUGUGAGGGUCACCAGUGGCUUUACCUCUCUCAGAGCUGGAGCCUCUAAAAGUUAUUUCACUGCCAAAGCAUUUCCAUCCACCAACAUUCCCACAGGGAGGGACUUUCUUCUUUCUCCAGGAAAAGGUUCUUCCCCAGAGGGUGCUGGCAUUGCCAAGGCUCCCCAGGGAAUGGGCACAACCCCGAGGCUGCCAGAGCUCCAGGAGGGUUUGGAGAACAUUCCCAGGGUGGGAUUGCUGGGGUGUCUGUGCAGGGCCAGGAGCUGCACUGGAUGAUCCUUGUGGAGCCUUUCCAACUCAGGAUAUUCAUUAAUUCCAUGAUAUUUGAAUGGAAGAGCUGGGAGGCACAGAGAGAUUAAUCUGCACGACCUGCAGGUGUGCCACAGAGAUGCUCUUUCCCUUUCUCAUAUUCUUUGCCUUGCUUAAACAUUGGCCCAGCUCUGUCCCCCAGGCUGGAGGUCUGAAAUGAAAUGGCAAUCUGCUCCUCUCCUGGCUAAUUGGAGCUGGAGCAGAGACAUUUCACAGGAGAAUAAUGAUGAGCUGCUGUCCCUGCAUCCCUCUUUGUCUCCAUUUUUAUUUUUGUAGUGUCUCAUCUGCUCUGCUGAGCUGCCAGUCACCUCCUGGGGACACUGUCCCUCACUGAGAGCUCCUGGGGCUCUCUGACUACCCCUCAGCUGCUUUCAGCUCCCGAGGCUGGGACAUUCCAGCUGGGAGCUGGACCUGUGGACACCAGAAAGCACUUUCCAGUUCUGGAUCUCCUCAUUUCCCCCUGGCAGCUGGAGAAGCUCCCUGCUAACGAGGGAGCUCCAUUCUCUGAUCCUCCCCUUGCUUGGCUCUGGUGGCUGAAUUGCCUCUGGCUCACCUCAAUCAGCUCCAUUUAUUCCAGGGUUUUGAGUAGCUGCAUAUGAAAGCCUCGCUGAUGGAGAUAUCACAUGGCUUUGCUUUGCCUACAGACAAUGAUUUCAUCUUAAUAAAGUCAGAUUUUGCCUCUGCCUGCUGCGCUGUCGAGUGAGCUCUCCUACAAGCCCCACAAUGCAGCAGCUUUGUGAGGAAAAAAAGCACAGGACAGAAUAAUUUAUUUUUUUCUCUCAAUAAUCCUGAAAAUGAGCCAUGACUGACAAGAGGGAGCAAGGAGGAUUUGAAGCACUUGAAUUUCUUUUUCCAGUGUAUUUGAUAUUGCAACUGUGGAUGCCACUGUCACUGCAGGAAGAGUUAUGAGACCAUUUAAAGGGGUUAAGACCUUUAUAUGCCUGAGGCCACUUCUAAGCCCUGGUUUUCUGUACUGUUCUGUCCUACCAGGUUCCUUUCUCCCUCUGGUCAAAAUAGUAACUUAUAUAAUUGCUUAAUUCAUAUGAAUUUGUAAGGGAACAAAUGAAAUGAAAAAGCUCCUCGGAAACACCAGCAUUACCCAAAAAUACACAUAAAUAAAAUGAGCACCUCCAAAACCUGUAGUGACAUGUAGCCACAUCGAAUUCCUGCCCUGCAAAUUGCUCAGCCCACGAAACAGAGCAAAAAAAUGCAGAGAACAAGGCAAAAAAUGUGCCAGUCAGCCUCUUUAGGAGCUGUGCACGCCACUGGCAGGGGCUGCUUUGCAUUAGUGCUCCUCAAUUCUUUGACUGAUUUGUUCCCUGGGUGUAACAGCUGCCCACAGGUUGUACCUGCAUGGGUGAAUCGAGUGUGACACAGAGCCAGAACAUUGUGGUGCCUUGCUUCUUGUGCUAAUAAAUAUUUCAGCAUAAAUCCUAAGUGCUGGUUCUGCAGUCCCCCAUCCUUCUCUGCUGCAAGACGCAGAAAAAGCAACUGGGAAAUUGCUGCCCAUAAUGGAAAAUUAAAAAAAAAAAAAAAAGGAAGUUGGUAAGCUUGUGGUAAUGGAUCACAUAUUUUAAAUUGAUUUUUGUUGCUUAGGAGGAUUUGAAGCACUUGGAUUUCUUUUUUCAGGGUAUUUUAUAUUGAAUUUGUCAAUGUAACUGUAGGAAGGGUUAUGAGAGCAUUAAAGGGUUAAGACCUUCACAUGCCUGAGGACACUCAUAAGCCUUAAAAUUCCACCUAAAUCCUAAAGCCCUAAAAUUCCACUGUUGUUGUUUUCCUUUUUAUUUUAUUUCUAACAGCCAGCCCUCUCCCUCUGCACAGGUCAGCCCUGAAUGGGCUGCACUUCAAGGCUUUUUCCUCUGUGGAAUUUUUCCUAGGAAGAAGAAGAAGAAAAACAUCUCAGCCACUCAAAGUUGGAGCAUCCUUCUCCUCUCUUCCCCCUUUUAGUGUCAAGUGAGAGAUUUACCCAUCUCCCACCUCAGUGAUGCUUGACAGCAAAAUAUCCUGCUCCAAAUAUCAUCCCCAAGCUCACGAGCAGCUCCAGGAUUCUGGGAUGAGCAUUCCCAGCUUUACCAGGAACCAUAUAAAUAAUAUUUGUACAGCUCCCAGGACAAACAAACACGGGCAGGAAGCAUUUACAAACCCGGGCUGUGUUAAUUGCUUCUGCAGAUGACUCCACCUGAAAAUAUUGGAGGGUUUUGAUGAAAACUCACAGAUCAUGGCGCAUAGACAAUGAGGCAAACAUUUCCUUCAUUUCCUCGCUGGAUUUUGAAAUUAAAAAGGAAAAGAGUCACAUCUGUGCUCAGGAGUCCAUUUCCAAGCUCCCCACCCAGCUGGGUUGGCUUCCAUGGCUGGGCAGUAUGGAUUGAGUAGCUCCUAAAUUUAGGAUUUGCUCCUAGAACCUCAACUGGUGCACCUCAUGGGGAAUUUAUGGCUUGGAAAUGAAGAAUUUAUGAGGAGAAAAUGGUGGGGGAGGAGAAUUAACUCAAUAUUUUCUUCUAGGCUCGCCCUCCAUCCUCAACUCUGCAAUGAGAUUUGGCUUGUAGGGAUGUUUUCCUCUGAAUUAUGGCAAAGCCUGUGGGGUAAGAGUUGUUUGACUUGCUGGGAGUAUUAUUUCUAUCAAAAGAGCCUCUCAGAGAAUAAAAUUCCAAAAUGGGGUUUAUGUGGCAAUAUCUUUACUGAUUAAAAAGAAGGAGUAAAAUAAAGUAAAGUAAUGACUUUCCACUGGUUUUAUUCCUAUUUAUUUGAUGUGCCAGGAAAUUUUCACUGUUUCAGUGGGAACUGGAGUUAUCUUCAGCCUCACUAUCAGUUUUACAUCUAUUAUUGUGAGUUAUUUUUCUCAAUUAGUGAAAAGCAAAUUAACAAAUGUAAACACACUUUCUUAUUUCUGGAUGCUGGUGUGGAAUUAACUUGGGGAAAUCUGGGAAAUGCUGCGCUCAAGAUUCUGUGAGAAAAAAAUUAAAAUUCAUAGUUUUGUGUUUUAUGAUUUAUGAAUCCAUUGUGUUUCAUUGUAAACUAGGGGGGAAUUUUCACUGGAAUCCUAGAAAUAAACUGGAAACAAGAUGGAAGGAGUCAAAGUGACUCUUUGGGCACUGUGGUCUUUAUUUUGGGUAAUAAAUUUGUGCAGACUGGAAGAAGGCAAUGAAGCAUAGCUUGGAAAUGUAUUCCCCAGGAAUGUAUAUUUUAAAUAAAUGUCAAUUCCUUUUAACAGAA